UUUUUAUGACUCUAUUGCACUGUAUCAUACAGUUUAACUAGUUGGAACAUUCUCAGUUAUUCACAUAUUUUAGUGUCAUUACUAAUUUCAGGUCAGCUUAGUCUUAAAAUGCUGUCUUCCAUUAUUCUUACUCUUUCUAGUUCUUCUGUAGCUUUGUCCACUGUACUCAUAGUGAAAUGACUAACAAAUCGACAAAGAAGGUAAAACAGCAAUCCCAUUUUCUUCAAAUUAUGGAAUGAAAUGAACUCUAUUUAAGCUUGUAAUCAUUUUAACAUGAAACACCUUCAUGGGGGUGGG